rnacentral:rRNA from 1 species
GACGAACGCUGGCGGCGUGCUUAACACAUGCAAGUCGAACGGAAAGGCCCUGCUUUUGUGGGGUGCUCGAUUGGCGAACGGGUGAGUAACACGUGAGUAACCUGCCCUUGACUUUGGGAUAACUUCAGGAAACUGGGGCUAAUACCGGAUAGGAGCUCCUGCUGCAUGGUGGUGGUUGGAAAGUUUCGGCGGUUGGGGAUGGACUCGCGGCUUAUCAGCUUGUUGGUGGGGUAGUGGCUUACCAAGGCUUUGACGGGUAGCCGACCUGAGAGGGUGACCGGCCACAUGGGGACUGAGAUACGGCCCAGACUCGUACGGGAGGCAGCAGUGGGGAAUAUUGCAGAAUGGGCGGAAGCCUGAUGCAGCGGCGCCGCGUGCGGGAUGACGGCCUACGGGUGGUAAACCGCUGUCGCCGGUGACGAGGCGUGAGUGACGGUAAUGGGUAAAGAAGCACCGGCUAACUACGUG